rnacentral:lncRNA from 1 species
UGAUGUUUGUAUAUAUGUAUGUGUGAUAUAAUCUGCUUGUUGUGCUUGGUGAUCUCUGAGUGGUGAGAUAAGUUCUAACCCAAACUUGAGUGCACUUAAGAUAAGAGGAUGGUAUAAUCAUGUUCAACUUGUGUGGAGUAGUCCUUAACAAGUUGGCUUGAGAUUCAUCUUCUCAGUGGAGACUCCUUUGGAUUUGGAAAUGUCACACAAGUAUUUAUGGUUAGGCAUUACUAUUUAUAAUUGGGUCUGAGAAUCUGAGGACCUUAG